rnacentral:tRNA from 1 species
AAUGAGGUGCCUGACAAAAGGAUUAUUUUGAUAGAAUAAAUUAUGUAUAUUACCAUACUCUCAUUA